rnacentral:piRNA from 1 species
UGAGAAUAAUCUAAAAAGCGGGGCUGAGAU